AAAUUAUUGUUCUAGACUCCAUGCAUAUAGUUUCAAUGUAUGAGUUUUUUAGGUAUACAUGAUAUUUUCAUUUUACCACCUAUAAAAAUCAGUCUUCCCUUAUGCUGACUAUGAGCGUCUUGGAGAAAAACCUUUUUAUACUAGCAUACCGAAGGGUGUGGCCUAGCGGUCAAUGAAGUUAGAAUGGAUUAUGUGAUUAGGGGUUUUAACUACCUAAGGUCUCAGGUUCAAAUCCUUGCUGAGACAAAAACACUAGGUGUUUUCUUUCCAUUUGUCUAAGCUUUGGUAGAUAGAGUUACCUGGUACAUGUUGCUGGUAGGAGGUAGCAGGUAUCCCUUGGAACUAAUUGAGGUGCGCGCAAACUGGCUCGUACUUUACGGUUAUAAAAAAUAUCAGGGUUUUACCUUUAACAAUCAAAAAAAAUUAUGAGAUCAGGGUUCAAAUCCCAUGGAGGCAAGAAGGUGUAAGGUGAUUUCUUUUCGUCUAAGUUCUGAUAGACAGUUAUUCAAUGUCGGUAUUGAUGGAAGGUAGCAGGUACCCAUAGAUUAGUCGAGGCUCGCAAAAGAUGGUCCUGACCCCAUUGUUAUCACAAAAAAAAGGGAAAAGAAGAGACUUGGCUACUUGAGUUGUUUGCGGAUGGAGCCAAUGGGAGUUUGUGAACAAUGUUUGGUACAUAAAGAUACUUUCUCCACUCGAAGUGCAACAGAUGGGGAAAGACGGCCUUGAUCUUCCAAAUGCUGGCCUAGUACAAAGGCUUCCUAGCAAUGGCGUCGGAUGUGAUGACUAUAUGAACCAAAAGGGCUCCCAAAAUGCCAUGAAUGGGAUACCCUUGGGGUCGCUCGACUACUAAUGAUCAAUAGUGACCCCUGCCUAAGGUAAUUGUUCCAUAUGGUGGUUGUUGCCCUUGGUUAAUGUCUGCAAAUUUCUUGUACCCUUUGUUGUGUCAAAAUGUCAUGUAUCUUUCUACCUAAAGACAAGGGCUAAGUGUCAUUUGAAGCUUGUAUCCCAGAUAAGUACACUGUAAAUUAUAAAUAUUAUUAUUAUUGAUAAGCCUGUGGAACUACCUUCUAGAGACCAACUGCAGAAAUAUCUAGUUAGCAGUAGCCACAGUUGACUUUGCUAGAUCCAUAUAUUGUACUUUUUUUAUAUUGUUUUUCGGAUAAAAUGCCGUUUUACACCUCUAUUUGGGAGGUUUGAGAUCAA